CAUUAAUUACGAAAGCUAUAGCUCCUUCGGGGGUUAUUGCAUCCACCCUUUGUCUACUUGUACCUCUUGUUGUUUCCUCGGCAGGCUUGCCUGCCGCUAGGAACCCCAUAAACCCUUUGUAUUUAAAGUAUUACAAUCUCUGAUAACUAUUUAAAUUAUUACAACUUUCAACAAUGGAUCUCUUGGUUCUGGCAUCGAUGAAGAACGCAGCGAAAUGCGAAAAGUAGUGUGAAUUGCAGAAUUCCGUGAAUCAUCGAAUCUUUGAACGCACAUUGCGCCCCUCGGUAUUCCGUGGGGCAUGCCUGUUCGAGCGUCAUUUACACCCUCAAGCUCUGCUUGGUGUUGGGCGUCUGUCCCGCUUCACGCGUGGACUCGCCCCAAAGUCAUUGGCAGCGGUCUUGCCAGCUUCUAGCGCAGCACAUUUGCGUUUCUUGAAGUUUGGUGGAUCAGCAUCCAGUAAGCUCUUUUAUGACUUGACCUCGGAUCAGGUAGGGAUACCCGCUGAACUUAAGCAUAUCAAUAAGCGGAGGAAAAGAAACCAACAGGGAUUGCCCUAGUAACGGCGAGUGAAGCGGCAAUAGCUCAAAUUUGAAAUCUGGCUCCUUUUAGGGGUCCGAGUUGUAAUUUGCAGAGGGUGCUUUGGCGUUGGUGGCGGUCUAAGUUCCUUGGAACAGGACAUCGCAGAGGGUGAGAAUCCCGUUUGUGGUCGCAUGCCUUCGCCGUGUAAAGCCCCUUCGACGAGUCGAGUUGUUUGGGAAUGCAGCUCUAAAUGGGAGGUAAAUUUCUUC
rnacentral:rRNA from 1 species